GCAAAGCAUGGCGGGUGUUCAAGCCAUUGGCGACUCAUUCUCCAGGUCCGCUCUUCGCAAGAGUGCGUCUUGAGAAAGGGUUGCCAAUGACUUGUUCUGAGAUUAUACCGUUUAAACUUGAUCUGGACAAUACCAGCGAAAGGACUACUGCUGCUUUCUGAUG
rnacentral:ncRNA from 19 species